UGGGGGAUAUUGGACAAUGGGGGGAACCCUGAUCCAGCGACGCCGCGUGAGUGAAGAAGUAUUUCGGUACGUAAAGCUCUAUCAGCAGGGAAGAAAAAAAGUCCUUUGGACUUUGGACGGUACCUGACCAAGAAGCCCCGGCUAACUACGUGCCAGCAGCCGCGGUAAUACGUAGGGGGCAAGCGUUAUCCGGAUUUACUGGGUGUAAAGGGAGCGUAGACGGCAGCGCAAGUCUGGAGUGAAAUGCCGGGGCCCAACCCCGGAACUGCUUUGGAAACUGUGCAGCUCGAGUGCAGGAGAGGUAAGCGGAAUUCCUAGUGUAGCGGUGAAAUGCGUAGAUAUUAGGAGGAAUACCAGUGGCGAAGGCGGCUUACUGGACUGUAACUGACGUUGAGGCUCGAAAGCGUGGGGAGCAAACAGG
rnacentral:rRNA from 1 species